rnacentral:rRNA from 1 species
UGAGGUCAGGCAAGAACACCCGCUGAACUUAAGCAUAUCAAUAAGCGGAGGAAAAGAAACUAACUAGGAUUCCCUUAGUA